GACGAACGCUGGCGGCGUGCUUAACACAUGCAAGUCGAACGAAGUGGCGAACGGGUGAGUAACGCGUAGGUAACUGCCUGGUAGCGGGGGAUAACUAUUGGAAACGAUAGCUAAUACCGCAUAUUACCCGAUGGACCUUCGUUGUAUUAGCCAGUUGGUGCGGUAACGGCUCACCAAGGCAACGAUACAUAGCCGACCUGAGAAGGGGGUCGGCCACAAGUGGACUGGGACACGGGCCAGACUUCUACGGGAGGCAACAGUAGGGAAUUUUUGGCAAAUGGGGGAACGCGGACCGAGCAACUGCGCGUGAGUGAAGAAGGGUUUCGGAUCGGAAAGCUCUGUUGUUAAGGAAGCGGUACUUAACCAGAAAGGGACGGCUAACUACGUGCCAGCAGCCGCGGUAAUAC
rnacentral:rRNA from 1 species